UUUAGAAGGGGUCCACUCACAGUACUUAGCCGCCGAAGAGCCACGCAACCUAUCGAAGAAGGAACGCCACAGAUAAUCGCCCCUAAGCACAUAAAUGGUCCAAUUAAUAAAACUAUAUAAUAGAAAUUGAAUUUGGAAAAACGGACGUCAGAAACGGAUUCAGAACGUCGAAUUACCUAAAAAGGGUACCGGACGAAACCCGAAAAGUCAACCCUAAAGUCAACGUUGACCGGGGAUCAACGGUCAAAUUAGGUCAAACGGGUUUUAGACUUGAAAUCCGGAUUAGGGUUUAGGUUAAAUAGGGUUAGGACCUAUUGGGUUUUGAACUAAAUAAAAUAAGGGAAUUGGGUUGGAUGGGUUAGGCCCUAAUAGAUUUUAGGAACCUAGGGUUUUUGGGUUAAAAGGGUUUAGGAUGGAAAAAUUGGGGUUUGGGCUUUAGCCCAAACACACACACACAUGCAUGGCAUGCAUGUGCAUGCAUAAACACACACCACACACACUGCACGCACGGCAACACACACAAGGCACAAGGCCUUAAGGCCUCACUAGGGCAGGGCUUUAAGCCCCUUUAAAUCAAAACCGGCCCAAGGCCAUUUAAUAAGGCCCGAGGCCUUUGGGGUUUUAAAACAAAAAGAAUAAAAACAAAAACUGAAAGGGAAAGGGUUUUGGGCUAAAACAAACGGGCUUAAGGCCCAAGGGAAAGGGAAAGGGAAGGCCGGAUGGCCUUGGUUUGUCGAGAGGGAAGGCCGGAAAUUCGGCCGGAAAAUUACCCCACUUUAAACGGCCAUAACUUUGUCACUGCUCAACGAAAUCAAGCGAAACAAAAAUGAAAGUUGUAGCCCUGGAAGAGACGAAGAGAAUGAUACUUCACACGACGUCUAACUCGCCGUGGUUUGGCCGGAAAUUGCCUCGAAGCCUCGGAGGUCGCCGGAAACUGGAUAAGAUUUCAAAUGAGUAUAACUUAUUCAAUACUCAAUGAAAUUGAGUGAAACAAAAAGGAAAGUUAUAGUACUUGACGAGACGAAGAGAUUGAUACCUUGCACGCCGGCCAACUCGCCGUGGUUUGGCCGGAAAUUCUCUCGAAAGUCGCCGGAGAUGGGUGUGCCUACACCCGUGGUGGUUUCGUCCUAAAAACCUCCAAAAUCAAGAAAUAAUCUAAUUUAAAAGUCAUUCCAGCAAUAUUCAAGGACGAAAUAGAGAUAAUUAGGGGCUUACCUAAUCGAAGAUUGAAAAAUCUCGCCGGAGUCCCCUUUCCGGUUUUCUGGGGUCGCGGGAACGAGAGGGAGAGAGAGAGAGAGAGCAGGACGAGAUGGUGAAGGGUGAUGGUUCUUCCUCGCACACUCGUGUGCCUGUGCGUGUGUGCUUGUGGUGCAGAGAAGGGAGAGAAGUGAGAGCCGACAAGGAGAGACAGGAAGACAGAAAACGAAAAAGAAGAAGGAAGAAAGGAGAGGUUCACAGAGGGGGACAGAGAGAGAAGAAGGAGAAUUUGCUUGGGGUGCUGCCACGUGGCAGGUUUAGAAAGAAAGGGAUCCAGUGCUUUGGAUCCUUUGGUAGACAAAAAUGAUGAAAUUGAUAUAUUUAAAACAUUUA
rnacentral:lncRNA from 1 species